rnacentral:lncRNA from 10 species
CUUUUGUUAAAUUUAUUCUAAGUAUUUUAUUCUUUUUGAUGGUAUUGUAAAUGGAAUUGUUUCUUAAUUAUAUUUUUGAUUGUUGAUUGUUAGUGUAUAGAAACAAAUUGAUUUUUGUAUGAUCCCACAAAAUUUCAAAAUCUGUUUUUUUCCUCUUCAAAAUCAAGAAUCAUUAUUUCCAAGAAAUGUUUUCUCCAUCUUAAGGCAAGAGAUUAUUUGAAGCCUGCCAUAGAGCACCCAAAGCUUGGGGUUGUCCUUGAGAGAAAACAAAAAAUUCUUGGUGUCGGGAACUGUAGCACAUGGUUUACUUAGUCUUUAAGAUAAGGUAGGCUUACAGAAAGUCAUGAACUUUAAAAUGUCUGAGAAGUCCUUGAGCACAGAACACAGAUCUGGGAGUAGUACAAACCGGUUACAAAAUGAGACAUUAAGCUCAAAGAGCUGGUAGUGUAAUGACAUGUGCAGAAGAAAUGCAUGUUAAAAAAAAUGAAAACAAGACAAAUAAAUACUCUCUCAGGGGAAAUGAGUAUAUGCAUUCCACUACCAACUUUGGGCAUUGGUUAUGAAAUUUAGAGCUUGGUUAGAUUUUAGGGUCAUCCAGCCUUGUCCUCUGAAUUUGCAGUUAAGAAAACUGAGUCUGGGCUGGGCACGGUGGCUCACCCUGUACUCAUUUUUUGAAUCCUGAGUGCCAAGCCCAGUGCUAGACACACUGUAGAUUCUCAAUAACUGUUGAACAAAAC